rnacentral:rRNA from 1 species
UACGUAGGGUGCGAGCGUUGUCCGGAAUUAUUGGGCGUAAAGAGCUUGUAGGCGGUUUGUCGCGUCUGCUGUGAAAUCUCAAGGCUCAACCUUGAGCUUGCAGUGGGUACGGGCAGACUAGAGUGUGGUAGGGGAGACUGGAAUUCCUGGUGUAGCGGUGAAAUGCGCAGAUAUCAGGAGGAACACCAAUGGCGAAGGCAGCUCGCUGGGACGUGACUGACGCUGAGACGCGAAAAGCGUGGGGAGCGAACAGG